rnacentral:rRNA from 1 species
GAUGAACGCUGGCGGCGUGCCUAAUACAUGCAAGUCGAGCGAACAGACGAGGAGCUUGCUCCUCUGACGUUAGCGGCGGACGGGUGAGUAACACGUGGAUAACCUACCUAUAAGACUGGGAUAACUUCGGGAAACCGGAGCUAAUACCGGAUAAUAUAUUGAACCGCAUGGUUCAAUAGUGAAAGACGGUUUUGCUGUCACUUAUAGAUGGAUCCGCGCCGGAUUAGCUAGUUGGUAAGGUAACGGCUUACCAAGGCAACGAUGCGUAGCCGACCUGAGAGGGUGAUCGGCCACACUGGAACUGAGACACGGUCCAGACUCCUACGGGAGGCAGCAGUAGGGAAUCUUCCGCAAUGGGCGAAAGCUUGACGGAGCAACGCCGCGUGAGUGAUGAAGGUCUUCGGAUCGUAAAACUCUGUUAGUAGGGAAGAACAAAUGUGUAAGUAACUAUGCACGUCUUGACGGUACCUAAUCAGAAAGCCACGGCUAACUACGUG